rnacentral:misc_RNA from 1 species
GGACCUUCAAUCAACGGCGUUAAAUUUUCUCCGAGCACAGGCCUCAAACUCCCCGAUCUCGCUACCAAAUGCUCCGGCUGCGAAGCGUAGGGAUUGCAAUAGAUGUUGUUGCUGCUGCUGCCGCUGCUGGUCUUCUUUCUCCGAAGCAAACCCGAAAACGGCGAAGUGGUUCGUGCGGGACUGUUGGAGCGGGAGCGAGAAGGGGAGAGACCACGAACCACUUCUUCUUUGAGAGCUGCGAAAAAACCCUGCUUCUUUUCCAUUUGUGGGCAACGAAGAAGAAGAAGAGAAUGUGAUGGUAAGAAGGAGAAUAAAGGUUCUGGUUUUGGCUACGGUUACAAAAGAAGUGAGGUUUCUACAUAAAGAACAACAGAAACGGAGUGAGUGAGCGAGUGAGUAAAUGAGUUAGUGAGUGCGUUAGCGAGCGAGUUAAGGAGUGUGAUUUUGGGUUUUCUUUCAGAGAGGGGGAGAGCGGCUCAUGGCACGAGGUAAGAAGGUGGUGAUAUAUUAGUGUGAGAAAUUGAGAGAAUAUUGUAUUUUUUU